UGGAGCAAUGAUGGUAACUGUUGGCCUAAGAGUCUUGUGUGAUGCAUACUCUGUGUCUGGAACUCUGAGGUCCAG
ensembl:snoRNA